GCUUCUUCUCUCCUCAAGUUAGAUGUGAAGAGAGUUCAGGUGUGUGUUCUACCAUGGAUCAGUGUGAGAACAGAGAGGAGGGAGUCCCUCCCUCUCAAAGGGCUCGCUAUGGGGAACAUGAGAACCAGACCAAAGCUCAGAGUUCACAUAAUGAAGUUGAACCCAGUUAUGUGUCCCCGAAGAGUGACUGCUCCAAGGACGACGUAAUGAAUUUCAGAACACACCGUGUGUCCCUGAAGAGUGACUGGUCCAGAGUGCAACCCAUUUCAUUUCAACCUGGAGCAGGAAGUGCUGAUGAGGGCGUCAGCCAGCAGAGCUCCCAGGUUCUCCGUGGAGGCUCCGCCCCUCAGC